UCCAUAGCUCAGGGGUAGAGCAUCUGCUUUGCAUGCAGGAGGUCCCAGGUUCAAUCCCUGGCAACUCUAGGUGGGGAA